rnacentral:piRNA from 1 species
UAUAUUACAGAAUAUACAGUCUUGGUGAA